rnacentral:rRNA from 1 species
AGCCCAGCACCGAAUCCCGCGUCUAACGUUAGGCGCCGGGAAAUGUGGUGUUCGGGAGGGUCCGUUAUCUCGAGGUCCGGCGACGCGUCCAAGUCCUUCUUGAACGGGGCCACAGCCCAUAGAGGGUGCCAGGCCCGUAGCGACCGUCUCCGAUCUCGAGAGGAUCUCUCCUUAGAGUCGGGUUGCUUGAGAGUGCAGCCCUAAGUGGGUGGUAAACUCCAUCUAAGGCUAAAUAUGACCACGAGACCGAUAGCGAACAAGUACCGUGAGGGAAAGUUGAAAAGCACUUUGAAGAGAGAGUUCAAGAGUACGUGAAACCGUUUAGGGGUAAACCUGAGAAACCCGAAAGGUCGAAGGGAGAAAUUCAUUCGCGUUUCGUCAUCGGCGUUCGGCGAUCGAGUGACGGAGGGGGCGUUCGCGCGCUCUCCGCGCCUUUCGCUGUUCGAUCCGGAGACGAACGCGUGCACUUUUCUCCUGGUAGGACGUCGCGAUCCGUCGGGUGUCGGUCUAAGGCUCGCGGUGGAGACCGUAGAUGUCGUUUCACGACGAUUUUUGCGGACCCGCGUGUUCCCGGCCGACUCGCUCGACGGUAUACGAAAGGUUUAAGGCCGCUUCUUAAUAAGAGAGCGUUCGACUCGUGGCAAGCGCGUCAGAUGUCGUCGGUGAUCGGACCUAGUGCCGAUCCAUACCCCUGACGACUGUUGGCCGCGAAGUUCUCGAACAGACCUUAUCGAAACCGAUCUGCGACGCUAUAGCUUUGGGUACUUUCAGGACCCGUCUUGAAACACGGACCAAGGAGUCUAGCAUGUGCGCGAGUCAUUGGGAAUUACUAAACCUAAAGGCGCAAUGAAAGUAAAAGUUCGUCUCGCACGGACCGAGGGAAGAUGAGCGGUCCUUAGUGGCCGCUCCGCAUUCCCGGGGCGUCUCGUUCUCAUCGCGAGAAGAGGCGCACCAAGAGCGUACACGCUGGGACCCGAAAGA